rnacentral:rRNA from 1 species
UACAGGAGGUCCCAAGCGUUAGUUCGGAUUCACUGGGCGUAAAGGGUGCGUAGGUGGCCAGGUAAGUUCGGUGAUGAAAGCUCGGAGCUUGAACUCCCGAAAUGUCAUUGAAUACUAUCUGGCUAGAGGGUCGGAGGGGAGACUGGAAUUCUCGGUGUAGCAGUGAAAUGCGUAGAUAUCGGAGGAGGAACACCAGUGGCGAAGGCGAGUCUCGUGGACGACUCCUGACACUGAGGACACGGAAAGCAAGGGGAGCAAACAGG